rnacentral:rRNA from 1 species
AGAACGAACGCUGGCGGCAGGCUUAACACAUGCAAGUCGAGCGCCUCGGCAACGGGGAGCGGCAGACGGGUGAGUAACGCGUGGGAACAUACCCUCCGGUUCGGAAUAACUCAGGGAAACUUGAGCUAAUACCGGAUACGGCAACCAAGAGAGAUUUUGGCGGCGAAAGAUUUAUCGCCGGAGGAUUGGCCCGCGUCCGAUUAGCUAGUUGGUGUGGUAAUGGCGCACCAAGGCGACGAUCGGUAGCUGGUCUGAGAGGAUGAUCAGCCACAUUGGGACUGAGACACGGCCCAAACUCCUACGGGAGGCAGCAGUGGGGAAUAUUGGACAAUGGGCGCAAGCCUGAUCCAGCCAUGCCGCGUGAGUGAUGAAGGCCCUAGGGUUGUAAAGCUCUUUUGUGCGGGAAGAUAAUGACGGUACCGCAAGAAUAAGCCCCGGCUAACUUCGUGCCAGCAGCCGC